rnacentral:lncRNA from 1 species
CUCCUGCCUCAGCCUCCCAAGUAGCUGCAAUUACAGGCAUGCGCCACCAUGCCCGGCUAAUUUUGUAUUUUUAGUAGAGAUGGGGUUUCUCCACGUUGGCCAGGUUGGUCUCGAACUCCUGACCUCAGGUGAUCCACCCGCCUCAGCCUCCCAGAGUGAUGGGAUUACAGGCGUGAACCACCGUGCCUGGCCUGUCCAUUUCCUUUCUGGUGACUUUGAUGUCUCCAUUUCCACUGGUUCCUUUCCUUGAUAUCCACAAAUACAUAACUAAUUUCCCUAACAGAAAAACAUCUCCUCAAAGCCUCUGCUUCAGCUUCUGAGUGUCUUCCUUUCUUCUUCCUUCCUAUCAAAGUUUCUUCACUCCACAUUUUCAUCUCCUCACAGUCUUCAUGCCGCUGUGGUCUGGCUCUGGCCACCACUCCCCUGAGUGGCUCUAAGGCCACUGGCUGGUGAUCUCCUACCUGCCAAGUCCAUGAGUCUUUUUCUGUCAUGUUAUUUGACCUCACUGGGCUUGGUGGUUGACCAUUCACUCCUUGAAACUCUCCUUACCUGGAAUUUGUAACACAGUUUUAUAAUUUUUCACACUUGUCUUUCUCUAAUGUUUUCUUUUCAGUUUGCUGUAUCACAACCUCCUCUUCUGCCCCACCGUGGGCACUGGUAUUACCCAUGCUUCCAUCCUUGGCUGUCUACUUCCUACUCUCAACCCACUUUCUGCUUAAUCUCAUGGAUUCCCAUGAUUUCAGCUAGUGCUGGUGAUCUCCAAAGCUGUAUCUCCAGCCCUGAUCAUUCUUAGCAUAAUACUUGUUUUGAAUAUUCAAACAUCUAGAAAUCUGUUGGUGUCCUACAGACAUGUCAAACUGAACUGACUACAUCUCCUUCCCUGGAGCCUCUUUCAAUUCCUUGUAAGUAAAUUUCUGCUACCUUAAAAAAAAUCCAGCCAAAAUCCUGGUAGUGAAGCGGGAAGAAUGUCUGGCUGUCUGACGAUAGCCUGUGGCCUCAACAGAUCAUUUAUAUAAGAAUGUGACAGAAAUGUGCUAGCUAUGUCAUACAGUUGUGUCCAGAGAUGAGGGGAAAGAGUUCAUCACAUUCCUAUUUCAGGGAAUAACACCACCAACCAGUUAGCCACAUGCUGUGGUAGAAACUAGCUAAGCCCCAGUUGCUAUCCUGCUAUCCUGGUCUACUCAUCAAUAGCUAGGUGAAUUUGGGCAAGGAUUUUUGUUUGUUUGUUUGUUUGUUUGUUUGUUUUUAAUUGAGACAGAGUUUCUCUCUUGUUGCCCAGGCUGGAGUGCAGUGGCGCAAUC